CCUACGGGUGGCAGCAGUGGGGAAUAUUGGACAAUGGGCGAAAGCCUGAUCCAGCCAUGCCGCGUGUGUGAAGAAGGCCUUCGGGUUGUAAAGCACUUUCAGUGGGGAAGAAAGCCUUGGGGCUAAUACCCUCGAGGAAGGACAUCACCCACAGAAGAAGCACCGGCUAACUCCUGCCAGCAGCCGCGGUAAUACGGAGGGUGCGAGCGUUAAUCGGAAUUACUGGGCGUAAAGCGCGCGUAGGCGGUCUGAUAAGCCGGUUGUGAAAGCCCCGGGCUCAACCUGGGAACGGCAUCCGGAACUGUCAGGCUAGAGUGCAGGAGAGGAAGGUAGAAUUCCCGGUGUAGCGGUGAAAUGCGUAGAGAUCGGGAGGAAUACCAGUGGCGAAGGCGGCCUUCUGGACUGACACUGACGCUGAGGUGCGAAAGCGUGGGUAGCAAACAGGAAUAGAUACCCGUGUAGUC
rnacentral:rRNA from 1 species